UGGGUGUGCAUAUUACAGCGCUUUCUCAAAAAAGCGCUGUAAAAUGCACACCCAUAAGUAAUUUUAUCUUUUUUAAUUGAUGAGAAUUUAAUUUAUUAGUUGUCUAUAAACAAAAUUGCUUAACCAA